rnacentral:misc_RNA from 1 species
AACAAGGCGUACCUGCGGACCUGCGGAGGGAUCAUUACCGAGUUUACAACUCCCUAACCCCUGUGAACAUACCACUUGUUGCCUCGGCGGAUCAGCCCGCUCCCGGUAAAACGGGACGGCCCGCCAGAGGACCCCUAAACUCUGUUUCUAUAUGUAACUUCUGAGUAAAACCAUAAAUAAAUCAAAACUUUCAACAAUGGAUCU